AUUGAGCGCUGGCGGCAGGCUUAACACAUGCAAGUCGAGCGGAGAUGAGGUGCUUGCACCUUAUCUUAGCGGCGGACGGGUGAGUAAUGCUUAGGAAUCUGCCUAUUAGUGGGGGACAACAUUCCGAAAGGAAUGCUAAUACCGCAUACGUCCUACGGUAGAAAGCAGGGGAUCUUCGGACCUUGCGCUAAUAGAUGAGCCUAAGUCGGAUUAGCUAGUUGGUGGGGUAAAGGCCUACCAAGGCGACGAUCUGUAGCGGGUCUGAGAGGAUGAUCCGCCACACUGGGACUGAGACACGGCCCAGACUCCUACGGGAGGCAGCAGUGGGGAAGAGUGGACAAUGGGGGGAACCCUGAUACAGCCAUGCCGCGUGUGUGAAGAAGGCCUUAUGGUUGUAAAGCACUUUAAGCGAGGAGGAGGCUACUGAGACUAAUACUCUUGGAUAGUGGACGUUACUCGCAGAAUAAGCACCGGCUAACUCUGUGCCAGCAGCCGCGGUAA
rnacentral:rRNA from 1 species